UGGCUCUCUUUUUUUACCCUUCCUCCUCCAGCAGCACAAUAUGAUCCACCAGUAAGCAGGGACACCAAUAAGGCAUCUGAAAAGAUAAGUCUUAUAAAAUAUAUAGAUUUAUGAUAACUAAGACUGAGCUAACAGAUGAGAAGUUCUAGUCAUUGGCCAAGCAGCUUUAAACCUAAUACAAGUUUCUGUAUAUUCAUUUGGGCCUAACUCAGGCAGGCGGCUGGCAUAAAGCUCACCCGUGGCGGUGGGGCUCAGGCAGCUUUUGGCAGAAAGAUUUAUCGUAACAUACAUAUGCAAAUUUUUAUAAUCAUAGAGGGAUUUGGGACAGACUCCAGUGAAUGCAGAUCUGCCAAACUCUGGACAUAUUCCUGACUCACACUGAAUAAACUUUAUGGAUAGACAUCUGCCUAGACAAAGAAUCGGACUUCAGUCAUGAGCCCUAACUCACAGGCAUGAGGAGCUGAGCCUGAAUCCUCAGAACACCCUGAGAAGGCAGGGCGUGGGACAUCAGACCUCAUCUGUUACAGGGGAACCGAAAAACAGAAGAGGACUGAAACAAAGAGAGUCAUUCCCUCGGUGACAUAGCCACUGACAUGCAAAUGCCCAGCUGUCUGCUCCUGCUGCCCUGAGUGCUGUCACACCUUCAGUGGGAUGGACGGCACCCUGCUAAACCAUGACCUAGGAUAAAUCAUUGCUCCCGUCAAUUGCUUUCUGUUGGUCAUUUUGCCACAUCGAUGAAAAGCAAAUCCAGUAUGGAAACGCAACACCAAGAAGAGGAGCAAUUGUUUGGACUAUCUGACUUCUCGUGCCUUGUAGGCCUUUGUGGCUGGUUUGUAGAGAGAAUUUUGAGGAGUUUGGACCUGUAGAAUAUAUCAGCCCUUGAGUGUUAGAAGCAGAGUUUAAUUGGUCAUUCAGAUGGAAGCUGGUGAAACAUGAAUUCUGAGAAAAAUUCAGACAGUGGGAGCCUAGAAGCCUGGCUUAUAAGGUUUGUCCAAUAAGACGCCCAAAGCUCUACAGCUAUGGUGGAAGGGACUGCAUCUUGAGCUGACAGCAGUAACGUCCACAUGAGGGUUCUCUUAAAGGAUAAAAACUCCAAGAGUUUCAAAAAGAUGCUGAGGCCACACAGUAUGUGGAGGGUCGAAUUCCUUGAAAGGUACCUCUUAAAGGACAUUGUAUGAAGUUGUGAAGGUGAGGUCUAAGCUGCAGUGAAGACCAUCCCAAGACUGGGAGACAUCCUCGGAGGAAAGCCAAUCCAAGAAAGAGGCUGUGUGUUCUAAACUCAGAAAAGCCAGAGGGAUGCUGCUACCCAAACCAUGAAAGCCCAGCCAGUGUCAUUCCAGGCCCCGUGUGCUUUGGUGUUUGUGCUGCUUGGUUUCAGUCUUGCAUUGACCCCAUCGCUCCUCACUCUUAUUCUGUUUCUCUUUU
rnacentral:lncRNA from 1 species